rnacentral:rRNA from 1 species
UACGUAGGCAGCAAGCGUUGUUCGGAAUUACUGGGCGUAAAGGGUGCGUAGGCGGUGCUCUAAGUUUGGUGUGAAAUCUCCCGGCUUAACUGGGAGGGUGCGCCGAAAACUGGAGCGCUGGAGUGCGGGAGAGGGAAGCGGAAUUCCUGGUGUAGCGGUGAAAUGCGUAGAGAUCAGGAGGAACACCUGCGGUGUAGACGGCUUUCUGGACCGUAACUGACGCUGAGGCACGAAAGCGUGGGUAGCAAACAGG